CUGAGACAAUCAAUUCAAUGACAGUUUCAUCAGCACAGCAAAGCACCAGCUUCCAGAAUUAUGGACAGAAGUACAAAAAGCAGAGGAGCUUCUUUAUUGUCCUGCUGAGGCUUCAGUCCAACUCUAGACCCUGGUUUCCUGUGGAUAGUGUUAAAUUUAGCAUUCAGCUCAAUUCCAUUUCCAUUCACCUUCAGACCCCAGUGAAAUAUCAAUGCCUGCCUACAGGUUCAUUUGACAGCAUGAAACAGCAAACUGAUCCAUUUUCAGAUGAUGAGCACUUUCCACCACUGACAUCACACUGGGCUUUAGCCACGUUUGGCAGCUCAGCGUGGUGAAGUUUCUUCAGAGAAAACAUGAAAGAUGGACGCUUGCAGAGGGCAUUUAGGCCAGUUGUUCAUUAUUCUUUCAAGAGCCAGCUGAUGUAUUUUUAUAAUAAGAAAGAAUCAGAAAGGAGGCAGUUCUGAGGAAGCCCUUACUGGUCAGGCCAGGCUCUGCACUCCCACUCCAGGGACUGUUGGAUCUGCAUUGCCAUUCUAGGACUUGGGGAAAGACAGGUGAUGGGAGCUAAGCAAGAAAAGGACAUAUCUCUUCUGCACCUCUGUACCUGACUCCAGAGAUCAGCUCUAGCUGGUGGCAGUUUCUCAUUUCCUGGAUGACAGCCACGGAUUGCAGAAAUGGGAAUCUGCCUUUGAACUAAAGAAGAGGGGAUAAAUGUCAAACUCACAGAGAGAGACUGCUAUUUCACCGCAGAAAUAAUCAGAUGGACCUUUCUUGACUUCUAGACUACAGAGUAAAAUACUUCUUCCAGCCCCUUUCCUAGAGUGAUUUCUUCCCUUGCUGUCAGACCAGACCUUCCUCUAGGGGAUAGCUAUUAAUGGAAGAAGUCCCAAAGACAAGUGCUCGUUGACCAAAAGCAGGCUAAUUCACAAAGAUCAAUGGUCCAACAGCAUUCAUCUAUCAUCUUGGACAUGUGUGCAGGGUAAUCAAUGGUCAUCCAUCUCUUUCCUGUAGGUCGAUUAAUCUUUUAAAUUUUGUAGGCUUUCUAUCCUGGUAUAGUGCUUUUUAUAAUACCUGCACAAGCUUUUCUUUUUAUAUAAAAUUAAAAAAAAGGAUGAAACUAUCUAAACUGUGUAUGAUGUAGUUCUUCAAAGUCUAGCGGGAA